rnacentral:ncRNA from 12 species
AAGGUUCUGAGGACGGAACGGGCAGCCGUCGCUGGAUAGUCGAAAGACUUGAUUAAGAGAUGCAGGAAUGUCACCCUGCCAAACCUU